CUCUGCUGUCUGCAUGUUGGAGCUUCACGGGGGGCGGAUGACCACACACACACACACACACACACACACACACACACACACACACACACACACACACAAACACUGGCGCACACACCAGACGCCAGCCACCACGUCACUUCUGUUUACUGAUAGCUAGCGUUUACCUCAGGCUAAUGAAUUAGCUAGUAAGUGAUGAUUUUUGGCAGCCAGCCUUCCAAAAGAUAGCACAAUGAAAUUAAAUGUAACGAUCAUUAACCGUUGACUGACAAGCAGGAAACAGAGUCUCAGUUCACCGUCCGGGAGCCUCUGACACACUUUCCGCACUCUGUGUCCGCGGACAGCUGUAGGCUUGUACCGUUAAUGUUCUGUGCAUUGUCGGACACAUGCAGCCAGUUUCCUGAAACCGCCUGCGAGACUGACACAAGUCCACAGCGGCCCGCGGCGUGUAUGUCCGAGCCUGUCUCCACCGCCUCCACCUGCAGGUUGUCAACUGUGUGCUUUGGAAUGAAAGGGAGAAAACAGGACGCCAUGUAACACGGCGGAUAUCGCUCAAAUACACUUUUGUAACCCUGCUAUAUAGCUAAUUCAAUGUGAGUACACUAAUGUUGAAAUGACAUACAAUUCCCAUUCCUUGUAGCCGUGAUAAAUUAGCCUGAAGCUAUUGCUCACCUGUUCAGGAAGAAAUUAGCCAACUCGGCGUCCUUUUGGGCUCUAAGCUGUCUCCAUCUUUCAAAUACAUCUCCAAUAUUUACCCGGGGUUUGUUACAUCUCUGGUCACGCAACUGUUAGAUUCUACCCGACCUAAAAAAAAAUGUCUAUCUCCGUUGAGCCUGUUAGUUUGUUUUGCUGCUUUCAUGGCGCGCUGGGUUUACAUUUUUACAGGUAUAUCUGGCAAUCUGGCCUGGCUGUCAAAACAGAAAUCGUGUGGACUGAAGUCGGGCAGACUCGGCGAUUUAAUGAGGUCCGUGAAAACGGAGGGAGGAAGAAGGUAUCCAAUGCCCUAUCUCGACCGAUAAUGGCACGACAAAGAUAG
rnacentral:lncRNA from 1 species